UUGAACGCUGGCGGAAUGCUUUACACAUGCAAGUCGGGCGGCAGCGCGGGGGCAACCCUGGCGGCGAGCGGCGAACGGGUGAGUAACAUAUCGGAACGUACCCAGACGUGGGGGACAACUAGUCGAAAGACUAGCUAAUACCGCAUACGUCCUGAGGGAGAAAGCGGGGGAUCGCAAGACCUCGCGCGUUUGGAGCGGCCGAUAUCUGAUUAGCUAGAUGGUGGGGUAAAGGCCCACCAUGGCGACGAUCAGUAGCUGGUCUGAGAGGAUGAUCAGCCACACUGGAACUGAGACACGGUCCAGACUCCUACGGGAGGCAGCAGUGGGGAAUUUUGGACAAUGGGGGAAACCCUGAUCCAGCAAUGCCGCGUGCAGGAUGAAGGCCUUCGGGUUGUAAACUGCUUUUGUACGGAACGAAACGGUUCUCUUUAAUAAAGAGGGCUAAUGACGGUACCGUAAGAAUAAGCACCGGCUAACUACGU
rnacentral:rRNA from 1 species